GAGACUCUAGUUAAAUUAUAACCCUACCUUGUCAAGGUAGAAUUGUGGGCUAACCUCCCGCGUGUCUUU
rnacentral:tRNA from 1 species